UACAUAGGGCCCAAGCGUUGUUCGGAUUCACUGGGCGUAAAGGGUGCGUAGGUGGUGAAGUAAGUCGGAUGUGAAAUCUCGGAGCUCAACUCCGAAACUGCAUUGGAAACUACUUUGCUCGAGGGUUGGAGGGGGGACUGGAAUUCUCGGUGUAGCAGUGAAAUGCGUAGAUAUCGAGAGGAACACCAGUGGCGAAGGCGAGUCCCUGGACAACUCCUGACACUGAGGCACGAAAGCUGGGGGAGCAAACAGG
rnacentral:rRNA from 1 species